rnacentral:lncRNA from 1 species
CCACAGACUUCAUAGGCUUCUUGGCUUGUGGAGCUGGAGAAGCUUAUGAGAGGCCAGUGAGUCUAUACCAUGGUCUCUCCCCGCGAGGCCAUCGAGGCCUUGGGGAAAGACCAUCCCACAGGUUCCCUCAAUACCAUGCUCCAGGGGAUGACAACUUCUUCCUUCUAUCUUCUCAUCCCCUGUGGCCUUUGGUUGAGAUUUUGUCACACAUGCAUGCCCCCUGGCCCCAGGGCCUUCUGUCUCUUCUUCAGACUUUACAAUCUUUACAUUCAUUUCAAUCCCCUUACCAACACUUCUGGAAACCCCAGCGUUGCCACUGUGCUCAAAGCUGAGGGUCCUAAAGGGAUGAAAUGAAUCUAGAGGGGAGGCAAACAUGCACAUAGGAAAUUAUAAACCUCGGGGAGGGGCAGGGACAGCGCCAUGUACCGGAUGCCUUGUGAGUGCAUAGGAGAGGCCGCUAGCCCCACUUGGGAGGUAGAGAAAAAUCUCCCAGAGAAAGGGACAGCUAAGCCCCUUGGCACACCGUGAUUAUCUUCUUUUUGUGCACAUACAAGCCACUCUUUCCCCACCUUCCAAUACAAUCUCAGAGCUAAAUGGGACUCUAAAUCUCAGGCAUCUGGUAACUAUGAAAUCAUUCUCCGCCUCAGUUUCCUCAACUGUAAAAUGUGGAAAAUAAUAUAACCUACUUUGUAGGGUUGUUGGGAGGUGCUAAAGGAACUAAUUUAUGUAAAAUGCUUAGAACCACACCUGGGGACAGAGUACAUACUUAAAGGUGUUACCUAUUAUCAUCAUCAUUAAAUCCAGGCAAUUUUGUAAUACUGGCUCCCCUCCCUGGUAUCUCAGAUAUAGUGAAAAUCUACUUGCUUGGUGCUGUUUGCUUUUCUCCACAAGUAUGUCACGGUGACAUUUUUCAUUCUGAUUGUUGAAUCAUCUCCAGUUUGCCACUGAGAAUUCCUCUAAGCCCAUAUUGGCUAAUCAGUUCCCUUGGAGCACAGGUCUUUAACCCACCAGAAAGCAGCCUGCCCUGGUAUUGUCUAGCUCAUGUUUCCAAAUCUGUCCUCACGGAUUUCAUGAGAGCUGGGAGCAGAUGCUCUAUGGAAAGCCAUCUGCAGAUUCCCCUCCACCCCCACCUCCCACCAAGCCAUCAGGAGAGCAGAGCCAUAAAGAAGAACGAAGUUUGUCUGGCAUGAUUUGUUCUUUGUUAACUUAUGAUCUUACAGUGAUUUGUUUGUUGUUGUUAUAAAAAAGAAUAUUUAUUUAGAAUAAAAAUACCCAAUCUCAUACCAGUCAGAAUGGCUAUUAUUAAAAAGUCAAAAAAUGACAAUGAUUCUUAUCAACCACACAUUUGGCAUCUAAGGGCUGACGAGACGUAGGUUUAGUAAUUGAUCCAGAUGCUUGUCUAACAUCGGCAUGGAAUUCACAAGGCAAGGAAUUCCCAAGUCCAUAGGUCACAGGAGGUCCACAGAAGGCCCGCCUUCUCCUGCAUUUUUGUCAAACACUGUCCCAGAUGAGCCCCUUCAGUCUCUUAGGAGUGCUCUGACCUCUGUAGUUUCUCACGGGCCCCUAACCUUUGUUUAGCAGUAUCAGCUUUGGGUUUUCUGGGUAUCUGGA